UGGGGAAUAUUGCGCAAUGGGCGAAAGCCUGACGCAGCGACGCCGCGUGGGGGAUGAAGGCCUUCGGGUUGUAAACCCCUUUCAGCAGGGACGAAGCGAAAGUGACGGUACCUGCAGAAGAAGCGCCGGCUAACUACGUGCCAGCAGCCGCGGUAACACGUAGGGCGCAAGCGUUGUCCGGAAUUAUUGGGCGUAAAGAGCUCGUAGGCGGUCUGUUGCGUCCGCUGUGAAAACUCGGGGCUUAACCCCGAGCCUGCAGUGGAUACGGGCAGACUAGAGGUAGGUAGGGGAGAAUGGAAUUCCCGGUGUAGCGGUGAAAUGCGCAGAUAUCGGGAGGAACACCGGUGGCGAAGGCGGUUCUCUGGGCCUUACCUGACGCUGAGGAGCGAAAGCGUGGGGAGCGAACAGGAUUAGAUACC
rnacentral:rRNA from 1 species